GACGAACGCUGGCGGCGUGCUUAACACAUGCAAGUCGAACGGAAAGGCCCUGCUUUUGUGGGGUGCUCGAGUGGCGAACGGGUGAGUAACACGUGAGUAACCUGCCCUUGACUUUGGGAUAACUUCAGGAAACUGGGGCUAAUACCGGAUAGGAGCUCCUGCUGCAUGGUGGGGGUUGGAAAGUGUCGGCGGUUGGGGAUGGACUCGCGGCUUAUCAGCUUGUGGGUGGGGUAGUGGCUUACCAAGGCUUUGACGGGUAGCCGGCCUGAGAGGGUGAACGGCCACAUUGGGACUGAGAUACGGCCCAGACUCCUACGGGAGGCAGCAGGGGGGAAUAUUGCACAAUGGGCGGAAGCCUGAUGCAGCAACGCCGCGUGCGGGAUGACGGCCUUCGGGUUGUAAACCGCUUUCGCCUGUGACGAAGCGUGAGUGACGGUAAUGGGUAAAGAAGCACCGGCUAACUACGUG
rnacentral:rRNA from 1 species